AUGGUCGGUGCCUCGUCUUGGCUAAACGCCAUAUUCGGUGGUUUGCCGAGACAAGUAUCACACCAAGACCUGUACGGCAACGACCUAUUCGCUAUGGUGGGUGCGCCUUCAAAGGUGGGACUGGUCUCGGGCUGCAUCAUCGUGAGCACCGGUUUCGCCACGUCGUCUCCUCCAGGAAGCAAGACAUCCGACCUAUUCGCCGCGAUCGGGACACCAAGGACUUGUGCACCGGAGAGACCUGUUCGCCAUGGACUUGACUCGGGCUACGUCGUUGCGAGCUCCGGUUCUGCCACGCCGUCUCCUCCUGAAAGCAUGGUGUAA
rnacentral:rRNA from 1 species